rnacentral:ribozyme from 1 species
UGCCCAACAACUACUAUCCCUAACUCCUCGUGGUACCGGCCGGAAACUACGAGCCACCUUAGAGAAAAUCGAGUAACCCACCACGAUGGGAACUUUGGUCGUAGGCUGAUAGGGAAGG